rnacentral:rRNA from 1 species
AGAGUUUGAUCAUGGCUCAGAUUGAACGCUGGCGGCAUGCCUUACACAUGCAAGUCGAACGGCAGCAUGAUCUAGCUUGCUAGAUUGAUGGCGAGUGGCGAACGGGUGAGUAAUACAUCGGAACGUGCCCUGUAGUGGGGGAUAACUAGUCGAAAGAUUAGCUAAUACCGCAUACGACCUGAGGGUGAAAGUGGGGGACCGCAAGGCCUCAUGCUAUAGGAGCGGCCGAUGUCUGAUUAGCUAGUUGGUGAGGUAAAGGCUCACCAAGGCGACGAUCAGUAGCUGGUCUGAGAGGACGAUCAGCCACACUGGGACUGAGACACGGCCCAGACUCCUACGGGAGGCAGCAGUGGGGAAUUUUGGACAAUGGGCGAAAGCCUGAUCCAGCAAUGCCGCGUGUGUGAAGAAGGCCUUCGGGUUGUAAAGCACUUUUGUCCGGAAAGAAAUGGCUCUGGUUAAUACCUGGGGUCGAUGACGGUACCGGAAGAAUAAGGACCGGCUAACUACGUGCCAGCAGCCGCGGUAAUACGUAGGGUCCAAGCGUUAAUCGGAAUUACUGGGCGUAAAGCGUGCGCAGGCGGUUGUGCAAGACCGAUGUGAA